AACGAACGCUGGCGGCAUGCCUAACACAUGCAAGUCGAACGAGACCUUCGGGUCUAGUGGCGCACGGGUGCGUAACGCGUGGGAACCUGCCCUUAGGUUCGGAAUAACUCCCCGAAAGGGGUGCUAAUACCGGAUAAUGUCUUCGGACCAAAGAUUUAUCGCCUUUGGAUGGGCCCGCGUUGGAUUAGCCAGUUGGUAGGGUAAUAGCCUACCAAGGCGACGAUCCAUAGCUGGUCUGAGAGGAUGAUAAGCCACACUGGGACUGAGACACGGCCCAGACUCCUACGGGAGGCAGCAGUGGGGAAUAUUGGACAAUGGGCGAAAGCCUGAUCCAGCAAUGCCGCGUGAGUGAUGAAGGCCUUAGGGUUGUAAAGCUCUUUUACCCGGGAUGAUAAUGACAGUACCGGGAGAAUAAGCUCCGGCUAACUCCGUG
rnacentral:rRNA from 1 species